rnacentral:lncRNA from 1 species
UCUGCAAAGGCUUUGUAAUUUGGGGAAAGUGACUCUCUCAGCUUGUUUCUUUAGUUUUAAAAGCAAAGAGACUGUGUGUCAGAAAUAUGUUAUGGUAUCACCCUUUGUUCUCCUGUUUUGUUUCAUAACAGUUGACCCUGUUAAAGAAGAAGAAAGAGAGAGAGAGAAGAGAGGGAAGAAGGAAGGAAGGAAGGAAGGAAGGAAGGAAGGAAGGAAGGAAGGAAGGAAGGAAGGAAGGCAGGCUCCUGACUGACCAGAGAGAGGCAGACAGAGAGAAAGGGAGGGAGGGAGGAAGGAAGGAAGGAAACCUCCUGACUGUGUUAUUUAGGCUUGUCCGAUGUAGGUGUUCUCCUAAUCUGCAUAAAUACAUAAAGGUGUUUGUGCAUGUCACUUUCCAUAUAGAUCAUGUGUAUAAGCUCUAAUUGUACAGAACUGAAGGUGUUGGCCAUGAGGACUUCUCUGCACCACAGAGCUAACAUCAAUACACGUUUGGAUUCUUUUCUAUUUCUGGAUUCAGUUAUUGUAUUAAUAUUUCCAUGGUUGUCACAACUAGAAGAGAACGAAUUAUUGUCCAAGUUCUUACUGAAAAUGCUACAAAUCCUGGGCUGCAAGUUCAAAGCUUCUCUUUGAAUCAAUAAACAUUGAACAGGGGCACA